GUGUUGACCUGAUUCAGAUUGCACUUGGAUCACUAGAGAUAAUUUGUAGCAGCUUGAUCCAAAUCUUUGGGAGUACUAUCAAAGUUAGCGAGUGCUACACUUGACGAGGUCGAGUUUCCUCAACCCUGGGAGAGUUGGCGGGGACACCAAACCCUCACCGCAAACUACACGACUAUACGGACGGAGACAAUGAAGGAUGUCCUAGCCUGUCAUGCUUUGGUUGAGAGACUAAGCCUAUUUGAGCCUAUCUCAUUGUUAUUUUAUUUAUUUGAAAUUAUUUAUAUCAAACAAUUUGAUUUGAUGGGUCGAGCCUAAUAGCGAGAUGUUUUAGGGGUUUACUAUUUAUAUGUUUCUCUGUCAUUUUGUGAGAUAAUUUUGAUGAUUAAU